rnacentral:rRNA from 1 species
GAUGAACGCUAGCGGCAGGCUUAACACAUGCAAGUCGAGGGGCAGCAUAAACAUUGCUUGCAAUGUUUGAUGGCGACCGGCGCACGGGUGCGUAACGCGUAUGUAACCUACCUCAAACAGGGGCAUAACACUGAGAAAUUGGUACUAAUUCCCCAUAACACUUUAAGAGGCAUCUUUUGAAGUUGAAAGUUCCGGCGGUUUGAGAUGGACAUGCGUUGUAUUAGCUAGUUGGUGAGGUAACGGCUCACCAAGGCGACGAUACAUAGGGGGACUGAGAGGUUAACCCCCCACAUUGGUACUGAGACACGGACCAAACUCCUACGGGAGGCAGCAGUGAGGAAUAUGGUCAAUGGACGCAAGUCUGACCAGCCAUGCCGCGUGCAGGGAUGACGGCUCUACGAGUUGUAAAC